UAUUUCAGUUAGUAUUCUCAUUUUCUAAAUCUAUCCUAUCUCAUUUCUCUUUCUCUCAGACGCACCCUUUAUCUUCUCACUCAUCUCUCUCUCCCUCACAUCUAUCUAACCUAUCAGCUCUCUCUCUGAGUCUCCUUUUUCUCUUGUAGGUGGCUGGUGCGGGAGGCACAACUGAGAUGGCGAUGGGUAUAUACAAUCUGAAAUUCUAUAGUAUAUAUAUAUAUAUAUAUAUACUCUUGUAUUGCAGUGAAAAUAAUAGUUUGUUAGCAUUGAAACAAGUCAAAGAAUCAUUAUGACUUCACAUUGAUUCAUGAUUUUUUUUUUUGUACUCGAUAAGCAAUUUGUUCAGAUACUUUAUUGUAUUUUGAUUAUUGUUGGUUUAUAUAACACUACUAUUUUUAUUUUUUAUUUUGUGCUUGUAUAAAUCCUUUCUGCUGAAAUAUUAGAUUGAAGAUAAGUGAAAGAUUAUUAGGCUUUAUUGUGACAGGAUAAGUUGGUGAACGGGAUAAAUAGGUACAAUAAUUCAGAAUUUUACUUGAAUAAAUACAAUAACAUUCAUUAUUAGUGAACUAUUGUACAUAGGUAAGAUUUCAUUUUCAUCUACACACAAUUUCUUUAUCAGGUGCUUUCACUUUUAUUCCAUAUGCAUAUUAAGUAUUCUCUUUUAACCAAAUCAGGUCAUAAACAUUUCUUUGUCCCUAAUCUUUGACCAGACCCUAUUUUGAAAAGUUAAAGUCAUCUCAAUUUAUCUUUGCCAUCUCUAAAUGUUAUCAAGAGGUAGAACUCAAGUUGGAGUCUUAGAGGGCAAUAUACGUUUAACUUAAUAAAGAUGAAGAGAUGAUAAAACAUAUGUGAAUGGGCUCAAAAUAAUUGAGAAGAACUCUGAAGAACCGAGCCAAACAACCCAGAAGCUUUCGCUGUUGAUCUAAGGAACUUUUGCUCAAACGCUCAAAACUUUUGUGUUCAUACUCCACCUUUCAUCUAAACAUGCCUGCAGAACGAGCCUUUCACUUGUACGCCAAAUAGGCGAACAAGAAAAAGUCCCACAAGCGCCAGUCUAGGGAGGGCUGCAGCAAUCCCCCUGUGAAGAAAUCUUGAACAUACGAUCCUCCUGCGCCUACUCCCACAAAGGAGAUAACUCCUCCACUAGCUCCUGCCAGAGAUGCAACUUCGUUGCCUCCUAUAAAUCUAUAUCCCCCUUCUCCGGUCGGACAGACUCCUCCUCCAGCUCCAGCCGACCUUACACCUCCAACGUCCACCGUCCAAUAGUCAGCUGGUCGUCGAGAAGAAGCCUCGGGAGACGACCUCACGGGUGUGGUGCUCAAUUCUGCCAAAGAUAGGCUGUCCAGAAUAACAAAGCACCGUUGCAGCUGGGAGGCGAUUCAGGAGACUGGCUCCAUGGCGGUUGAUCAAGUCUUCAACCGCGCACUGAACGAAGUGCUUGCUGGAGUUCUUACCAUGACUUCUGGCUGGCGAUACUCGACGAUGCUGACCGCUCAAUUCGAAAAGAGACUUGGCGAUAGCUUAGUGCUGCUGAGGCUCGAUAUGCUGAGAAACUCAAGGCGAUUGAAGCUACUCAUGCCGAGCAGCUGAAGGUAGUUGAGGUGAAGCAUUCUGAGGCUCUUAAGGAAGCCGAGGCGAAGCACACCGAGGCCCUUAAGGAAGCUGAGGCGAAGCACCUUGAGGCGUUGCAAGUGACCGAGGCCAAACUCGCUUCUCUUGAAGAAGAGUUGAAAAAGAAGGAGGCGAGUAUUGCCAAGUCACUGCAUCUAAGGAGCAGUACAAGGAGGCCUCGAUCAUAAAUUACUGGGAAGCCCACAAGCUUCAAGCUAAGUUGGAGAUAAGCCGCAAAGAUGUUACUGCAUUGGAGGAAGAGAAUGUCCGCAAUCUUGAAGACUACAAAGGGGCGGCGUUUGAGUGCUUUUACUUGUUCUGGAAAAACAACCCCAAUGCUAAUUUCUCUUAUCUUCUAAACCAUAUCAGGGAGGCGGAGCUGGCUAGGUGUGUUGCUCGUCUGGAAGAAGAAACAAUUCCACGGUCUCCAGAGAUUUCUUUAGCAACCGGUAUCGAGGGCGCCCGAGAAGAGGCUGGAUAUACAGUCAAUCAGUAGCAACAGAAAUCGCCACAGGACCCCCUGACUACUUCAUAAUUUUAUAUUUUUAUUUUAGAAUUAUAUGACCUAUGGGUCAUGAUGUAAAAAUAAUUUUAUGUUUUAACUUUUAUUGCUGCACGGGCAACUUUUCUCUUUUUAUUAAACAAUUACAUCCGAGCAGUAACUGCUCGUGGUGUAAAAGAAUUCAUUUUGAUAUUAUAAUAUUUUUAUGUUAUUAUAAUAUCUGUUCGCAUGAUCGAACUUAGC